rnacentral:lncRNA from 1 species
AAUUACCAUUAGCAGUUGAAGUGGUAGGAAAUUUUUACAUAGGAGAGUAUGGUGAUCAUAUUUGCAUUUUAGAAAAUAAUGGAUAGCAGUUUGUUAGGGGAACAAAGGACAGAGACAGGGAGACUAUUUAAAACAUUAAUAAAAAAUACCAGUGACAGAUGAUGAGGCACCUACCUGAUGGGAAUGGAGAAGAGGAGAUGGAUUCAGAAACUACUUAGGAGAGGCAGGCAGUCCAAGGCUGAUGCCCAAAGAAGCCAUCAAGACCCGUGCUACUUCCAGCUCCUUCUGUCCUCAUAAUCAUAGAUGAUUGCUCCACAUCCAGAGUCUCGCUCAGUUUCCAGGCUGGAGUGUAAUGGCGUGAUCUUGGCUCACUGCAACCUCUGCCUCCCAGCUUCAAGUGAUUCCCCUGCUUUAGCCUCCCAAGCAGCUGGGACUACAGGCAUGCACCAGCAUGGCCGGCUAAUUUUUUUUUGUAUUUUAGUACAGAUGGGGUUUAACCAUGUUGGCCAGGAUGAUCUUGAUCUCCUGACCUCGUGAUCUGCCCACCUCGGCCUCCCAAAGUGCUAGGAUUACAGGCGUGAGCCACCUUGCCCGGCCUUCUAUUCCUUUUUCUAAUGCAUUUGCCCCAGCUAUCUGUAUAGCCUGCAAUCUGGUAGAUGGACCACAGGGAAACCACUGCAGCAAACUAAAAGUGUCUAUCUCAGAUCCUUCCACCACCAUCAUUUCCAAAAUCACCGUCACUAUCUCCACCACCAUCACCUUUACCACCAUCACCACUAUCAUCCUCAUCCUUCCCAUCACCAUCUCCACUGCUAUCUCUCAACACCAUCAUCAUCACCACCACCACCAUCAUCACCAUGAGCACCACCUCUGUCGUCAUCAAAAAAGCACACAGUUCAGGCUGGCCUGUUGGAGGAUAACAGAUCAUGUGGAGCAGAGACGAGCUGGCCCACCUCAGGCCCUACCAGAGCAAUCAGCUUGCCAAACACGACAUACAUCAGCGAGGCCAUCCUAGACCAUCCAGCCCUAGCUGAGCCAGCCCAGACCAGAGACUCAUGAGAAACAGUAAAAUGUUCAUCAUUUUAAGCCACUAGAUUUUGUGGUGGUUUGUUAUACACCAAAAGCUAACUGAUACAGGGACCA